AUCACCUGAGAUCCUUGUUAAGAUGCAGAUUCUAAAUCAUAAGGUCAAGAGCCUGAGAGUCUGCGUUUGUAACAAGCUCCCAGGUGAUGCUGA
rnacentral:pre_miRNA from 1 species